GGAUUGUGGCUCAGUGGUAGAGUGUCCUUCUCUCCUGUGUGAGGCACUGGGUUCGAUCCUCAGCACCA
rnacentral:tRNA from 1 species